rnacentral:rRNA from 1 species
AGAGAGAGACAUGCGCGCAUAUCAAUAAGCGGAGGAAAAGAAACUAACAAGGAUUCCCUUAGUAACGGCGAGUGAAGCGGGAAGAGCUCAAAUUUGAAAUCUUCAAGGUUUUACCUUGACGAAUUGUAGUCUAAAGAAGUGUUUUCUGCUGAAGUUUUGGUAAAAGUUCUUUGGAAUAGGGACAUCAUAGAGGGUGAGAAUCCCGUAUUUGACCAUUAUUUUCAGCUUUGUGAUACACUUUCAAAGAGUCGGAUUGUUUGGGAAUGCAGUCCAAAAUGGGUGGUAAAUUUCAUCUAAAGCUAAAUAUUGGCGAGAGACCGAUAGCGAACAAGUACCGUGAGGGAAAGAUGAAAAGAACUUUGAAAAGAGAGUUAAACAGUACGUGAAAUUGUCAAAAGGGAAGCGUUUGACACCAGUGUUGUUUUCUCGAAAAUCAAUUAAAAAUGGCUCGAUUUUGUAUUGCUUGAGACCUUAAAAGCUCACUGUACAUUUUUCGUGUCUUUUUUAAUGCACUUUUCGUUUAACAAGUCAACAUCAGUUCCUUUUGUUGUAAAAGGGUCAUUGGAAGGUGGCUUUCUUUUCGGAGAAAGUGUUUAUAGCCUUUGGCCUCUGCAAUCGGAGAGACUGAGGUCUGCAGCGUAGACUCUUCGGGGAUAGAUACAUUUGUGCUAAGUUAUAGCUUUUUAUAGACAACUUGUUGACUAUAAUUAGUCUUGUAGCUUACUCGCUUAUGCUAUUUUACCUACGCUUAGGAUGUUGAAGAUGUAGCACAUCAU